GCUUAUCUCCACCCACAUCUCUCUCUCUCUCUCUCUUAUCUGUCCGUAAUACCUGGCAAGACUCCCGCUGCACUAAUCUGGAGGGAAAAUGAGGCUAAUCUCAAUUUUUGCCGCCAACAUACAGAACAAAGAGGUUUGGGCGCCAAACCUCUUAGACCUUUGUUAAUCCAGACGAAAAUACACAAACACGCAAAUCUCACCAUCACCCACAUCAAUCAGGAACAAGAUCCUUGGCAGAAGCACGUCAAACAAAUUCAAUAUCAGGCAAAAGAAGGAAAUUCACAAGGCUAAGGUGCAUCAAUCGGGCAGAAGCAAGGCCACCUAGGGGCUGAAGGAAAGGGGCAUCUUGUUCCCCAUGGCUUCUUCAAGCAUCGAUCCUCAAAUCCAUGAGGACGGUGAUGAAUCUCAGUGACCAAAAGUAUAGUCUUCAUGAUCUCUUUUCGUUGUUCUUUUCCUUGUAGAAUCUACUGAUUAAUUUUCCCUGCUGAUAAAGAUCAAAAAUGCCUUCAUGAUUGUAGAUUGUUAAUUCUUCCUGAUGAAAACAAAAUUGAAAAUGUCGAUCAUGAUCAUAAAACAUCUGUGUUUGCUUCGUAUAGGAUGCUACAGCUUAUGGAUCGGUUAUAAUUAUACUAGCCUUAUGCCUGGUACAUGAAGAAACUGCACAUGUCAAAAUAGAUGCUUAAUACUCAGUUAAUACUCUAGUCAGCAUAUUCUAAUAAAACAGCAGCCCGUGAAUAUUAGUCUACAUUGUUUGAUAAUACUGUUAUGACAUGGGUAAUCUUUUUUUAAUCCUUGUUUCAUAAAUCCAGUCAAAUUACGCAUGGUAAGCACAAUACAACAUAUGUGAAAAUGUGCAUUAACAAAAUUGAAUACUAAUUCAUACAGGAUGUGCAAGAAAAUGUUGCAACAAAUUGUACUGACAACAGGUUACCAAAGAUUGACAUGACAUUUUUAUCGGAAGAGGAGGCCUACUCAUUUUAUAACAAAUAUGCAAAAGCUACUGGUUUUAGCAUCCGAAGAGGGAGUCACCAUAAAGUGAAGAAUACUACUGUAAUACAACAACGGACAUUUACGUGCUCCCGUCAAGGUAUGGGUUGCUUGUAUUUUGUUUUGGUUAUACUACUAUUACUUUUGGUUUCACUAAGAUAAUUACUUUAAUUGACAGGAUUCCGUGCUGAAGAUAGCAGAGAGGAUUCUUUCAGUUACAGUAGGCCCGAAACACGAUGUGGUUGUCAAGCCCAUAUGAAGAUAAGUCUCAAAAAUGGAUUAUAUUAUGUGUACGAAUUUGAGGCAGCACAUAACCAUCCUCUUGCUACUGGAGACAUGGCCCUAUACUUAAGAUCCCAAAGGAAAGUCACAGAAGAACAAAUAGCAAACACUGAAGUCGCAAAGUCUGUGGGCAUUUCAAAUAAAGCAACUAUAGAUCUUAUGGCCAAAGAAGCAUGUGGACUUCCAAAUCUUGGGUUUGCACCCGAAGAUAUGAAAAAUCGUUUGUACUCUAAGAGAACACUGCAAGCAAAGAAAGGAGACACAUGGGGGGUGUUAGAAUACAUGGAGAAGAAGGUAAAAGAAGAUGCCAAUUUUUUCUAUUCAAUUCAAGUUGAUGAGGAUGAUCUGAUAACUAAUAUUUUCUGAGCUGAUUCGAAAAUUAUAUCAGACUAUGCAAUGUUUGGUGAUGUUAUAUGCUUUGACACCACAUAUAGGAAACUAGAUGAUGGGCGUCCCUUUGGUUUGAUUGUUGGGGUGAAUAAUCACAAGAAAACCAUGGUCUUUGGUGCUACACUUCUCUAUGAUGAAACUGCUGAAAGUUUUGGUUGGCUUUUUAGAACAUUUCUAACAGCUAUGUCUGGGAAACAUCCAAGGACUAUUCUGACCGAUGAAGAUGCAGCAAUGGCCAAGGCAACCAGUAAAGUCCUUCCUCAGUCUCACCAUAGACUUUGUGUGUGGCAUAUGAAUCAAAAUGCUUGCAAGCACCUUGCUGGGGUUGUUGAAGAAUAUAAGAAGUUCAAUGCCGAUUUCCAGCAUUAUAUCUAUGAUAUUGAGGAAGAAGACGACUUUAUAAAUGAAUGGAAUAGAAUGCUAGACAGGUAUGGACUCCGUGACAAUAUGUGGCUGCAAAGGCUGUUUGAAAAAAGGGAGCAAUGGGCACUAGUGUAUGGCAAAAAUACAUUCUCAGCCCACAUGAGCACUACCCAAAGAAGUGAAAGCAUGAAUAAUGAACUAAAGCGGUACAUUAGUAUUAAAUAUGACAUGCUUACUUUUUUUGAGCAUUUUGGGCGUCUGGUUGCGGAUAAAAGAUUUGUAGAGGUGAAGUGUGACUUCAAGGCGUCACAAACUACUCCCAAGC
rnacentral:lncRNA from 1 species